CAGACAUACACACACACACAGACCUACUGACAUACAUUUAGCCACCCUCCAGGUUCUUACCUUUUCCUGGAGGGUGGUUUCCCUGGUCCAGUGGCAGGCUGAGGCAGAUGGGAGUUCUCUUCUUGAACUCCCCUCCUCCCUGCCUUCCUCCUCCCGCGCGGCUAUCUCCGGUGGGAGGAAGUGACGUCACUUCCUCCCAGCCGGCUGCAGAACCGGAAGAGGGGCCCGGUCGAGCUGUUUAAGCGCCACAGCGCCCGACCGGGCCCCUCCUGACACAUGCUCCCCGGGUGGCCCUUAGUGCAUGGGCCACCCGGGGAGCCUCCUCAGUGUGCGGGAGCCGCAAAUCGCGGGGCCCACAGAGCAGCUGCUCUGGGCCCCCAUGAACAACUGGGCCCGGGGCAGCUGCCCCGUUUGCCCCGCGUUAAAGACGGCCCUGACCGUGAACAUUC